rnacentral:rRNA from 1 species
UACGGAGGGGGCUAGCGUUGUUCGGAUUUACUGGGCGUAAAGGGCGCGUAGGCGGUCGUGACAAGUCACUUGUGAAAUCUCCGGGCUUAACUCGGAACGGUCAAGUGAUACUGUCGGACUAGAGUACAGAAGGGGCAACUGGAAUUCUUGGUGUAGCGGUGAAAUGCGUAGAUAUCAAGAGGGAACACCUGGCGGCGAAGGCGGGUUGCUGGGCUGACACUGACG